UCUCCCGUGAGGGAGCAGUCUCGCCUGACAUAGAAAACAGGCAACGGGGGUUGCGUUCGUUACCCCACUGAAGGGAACAACUCAAGCCACGAACUGACGACGACCAUGCAUCACCUGUCCAGCCGUCUUGCGAGGUCUCUAGUUUCUUAGAGAUUUCGUCUGGAUGUCUAAUCCUGGUGAGGUUCUUCGUUUGUCAUCGAAUUGAGCCGCAUGAUCCACCGCUUGUGCAAGUCCCCGUCUAUUCCUUUGAGUUUUAAUCUUGCGAUCGUACUACCCAGGCGCAUCACUUAACGCGUUAGCUUCGCCUCAAAGAGGGUCGAUACUCCUUAAAGCCAGUGAUGAUCGUUUAGGGCGUGGACUAC
rnacentral:misc_RNA from 1 species